GACGUAGGGCGCGAGCGUUGUCCGGAUUUAUUGGGCGUAAAGAGCUCGUAGGCGGCUUGUCGCGUCGGCUGUGAAAACCCGUGGCUCAACUGUGGGCGGGCAGCUGAUACGGGCAGGCUGGAGUUCGGUAGGGGAGACUGGAAUUCCUGGUGUAGCGGUGAAAUGCGCAGAUAUCAGGAGGAACACCGGUGGCGAAGGCGGGGCUGUGGGCCGAUACUGACGCUGAGGAGCGAAAGCGUGGGGAGCGAACAGG
rnacentral:rRNA from 1 species